GACGAACGCUGGCGGCGUGCUUAACACAUGCAAGUCGAGCGGUAAGGCCCUUUCGGGGUACGACGAGCGGCGAACGGGUGGAGUAACACGUGGGUGGACCUGCCCUCCAGCUCUGGGAGUAAGCCUGGGAAACCGGGUCUAAUACUGGAUAUGACUCCAUGACGCAUGUUGUGGGGUGGGAAAGCCUUGUGCGGCUGAGGAUGGGCCCGCGGCCUAAUCAGCUUGUUGGUGGGGUGAGGCCUACCAAGGCGACGACGGGUAGCCGGCCUGAGAGGGCGACCGGCCACACUGGGACUGAGACACGGCCCAGACUCCUACGGGAGGGCAGCAGUGGGGGAAUCUUGCGCAAUGGGCGAAAGCCUGACGCAGCGACGCCGCGUGAGGGAUGACGGCCUCGG
rnacentral:rRNA from 1 species